rnacentral:rRNA from 1 species
UACGAAGGUCCCAAGCGUUGUUCGGAAUCACUGGGCGUAAAGGGAGCGUAGGCGGCGUGGUAAGUCAGAUGUGAAAUCCCGGGGCUCAACCCCGGAACUGCAUCCGAUACUGCCAUGCUAGAGGAUUGGAGAGGUAGCUGGAAUUCUUGGUGUAGCAGUGAAAUGCGUAGAGAUCAAGAGGAACACUCGUGGCGAAAGCGGGUCUCUGGACAGUUCCUGACACUGAGGCACGAAGGCCAGGGGAGCAAACGGG